AACGAACGCUGGCGGCAUGCCUAACACAUGCAAGUCGAAAGAGACCUUCGGGUCUAGUGUCGCACGGGGGCGUAACGCGUGGGAACCUGCCCUUAGGUUCGGAAUAACUCCCCGAAAGGGGUGCUAAUACCGGAUAAUGUCUUCGGACCAAAGAUUUAUCGCCUUUGGGUGGGCCCGCGGUGUAUUAGCUAGUUGGUAGGGUAAAAGCCUACCAAGGCGACGAUCCAUAGAUGGUCUGAGAGGAUGAUCAGCCACACUGGGACUGAGACACGGCCCAGACUCCUACGGGAGGCAGCAGUGGGGAAUAUUGGACAAUGGGCGAAAGCCUGAUCCAGCAAUGCCGCGUGAGUGAUGAAGGCCUUAGGGUUGUAAAGCUCUUUUACCCGGGAUGAUAAUGACAGUACCGGGAGAAUAAGCUCCGGCUAACUCCGUG
rnacentral:rRNA from 1 species